rnacentral:tRNA from 1 species
GUGGGAUUAGCUCAGUUGGGAGAGCAUCGCCCUUACAAGGCGAGGGUCACUGGUUCAAGUCCAGUAUCACCCACCA